rnacentral:lncRNA from 1 species
UUUUUUUUAAAAAGUUUUCCUUUAUAAUAGUCACCCUCAACUUACGUAUUAUACAUGCGCUAAGGUGCACGAUGUCCUUGGAAGGACCAAGUCCAUCAUCAAGGUAACUUCUUUUGUUCAUGUCACAUUCUUUUGUUCUUCUCUUUAUUUUUAUGACACAUUUUUUGCAAAGAGGGCUUUUUAAACACUUUGUAGCUAUCAUUGAUUACCUUUUUACUCAACCAUCCCUUUUUCUUCAGAAUUAACAAUUAGAAUAAGUCUAUGUUAUACUGCUCAAGGAAACAAGGUGCAAAAACUAGGGAUUCAACAAAAGAGUUAAGGGCAAAAUAUGGCUACCAACAAAAGGCUACAGGCUCAAAAGGGUUAACUAGUGAUAAAAUAUCUGAAAAGGCUAAAAUUUAUCAGACAAAUAAAAAAAAACUUAUUAUCAUCUCCUAAACAAAGCAACAUUUUUUUAUUUCGCUUCAAUAACAUACAGGGCAAGUUCUAAAGGCUAUAGUGACUUUUAGAAAAAAUCUUCACUUCUUGAAUCUCUAUCGUGUGUCCUUGGUUCAAUUUGAUUCUUAUCACUUUAUCCAUUCACUCUCACUCAUCGGAUAAUGUAAUAACUCAUGGGUCCCGGACUGAGAGACAGCGGGUGUGUAUCGUUAGGUCAGACAUGUAUCACUAUACUUGACAUUGCAUUUCAUUGCAUUGCAUAUCUUUAUCAUUUUUUAACUUGUGAGUGCCUUUUUGUGGAACUUGUGAUUGGUGAACCUGAUCUUGUGUGUUGCUGACCUGUAUUGUUGGAGUGAAGUGGUUGAACUAUAUGCUAUGUAAAUUACGAACUAUUGGUUGGACUGGUUUUUAUGCAGUGGAGGUUCGGUUGGGGUGUAAGGAGUACCUGUAUUCUAUAUCCUUAGCUUGUGUUUAGGAGUUUGCUUGUUGAGUACCGUGUGGUUUGGUACUCACCCCUUGCUUCUACAUUUUUUUAGGUUACUUGCUCGGAUCUUCGUAAUACUCUUUAUUCUCUCCUUAUCUGAGGUUUCCUGUGGAGAUUUGUGAGGUAAUUGUUUAUCAUCUCAGUGGACUUUCUCAAUCAUAUUUAUGAUGUUGUUCUAUUCUAGAAACAAUGUUAUGUGAGACUUGUAUCUUUCUUUCGAUUCAAUUGUAAUACUUUAGAGGCUUGUGCACGUGACAAUCAGGUUUUUGGGAUUUAGCUAAGUUGACUUGCUAUUCGUAUUAAUACUUGUUAUUAAACUUUCAAUUAUAGCUUAUUUCCGCACUUUACCGUAUUAGUUGGGUAUUAGGCUGACUUGUCUUGGUGGGAUAAGACGAGUGUCAUCACGUUUAUUUUUGGGUCGUGACAUAAAUCAGUAUAUAUUGAUUUAGUAUCAGUUAAGCGAAAAUUAUCAGCCUCAAUGAAUGGGCGGUAUGGGCUGUAAAUUUUUUUGAAAGAAUGGGUAUUUCUUGAAUUACUUUGGAUUGAUGUAUGAUGAACAUAUAAUUAUUUUGGGUUUUAUGGCCCAUUUAUGUAGUUUCCCAAAAAAAAAAAAGGAAAAGUUAUGCAGAAUAUUCAUUUAUAAAUUUUAUUUACCAUGUGUUUAGCCCCAUUUUCAAUAAUUACUUAAUAUGGUCAUUCGGCCUUAUUGAUUUCCAAAAAAACAGUCACCCGCUUCUGGGUCGUCUUCUUCAGCAGUGUUCUUCAUAUUCUUCUUUGUUGUUCUUCAUCAUCUUCUUCUUUUGCUCCUUUCUCCUCCUCAUUCUCCUUCCGCCUUCUGCUUCACCAUUUUUCUUAGUCUUCUCUAUCUUUUUUUAGCAAAUUAUAUAUCAAAAAUUGAAAUAUUGAAAGGAUCGUAUAUCUAAAAUCUGAAACUAUUUCGAGGUGAUUUUGAGUUGAUCGAAAUUAAAUAAUCAAUUGUAUACUUCAUUUAUAGUCGAACGAUAUUCAAUUUUUUGAGUGUAUCAUAAUAUAUUAUCAAUGUAUAGUUCAUUAUAAUUAAACGAUUUCAGUUUUUUUAAGUGUAUCAUAAUGUGUAGUCAGUAUAUAGCUCAUCUAUAUGUAACUAUAUUGUAUAGUCUAUGCAUAGUUUCGAUAACUUUUGACAAACUAUAUUGUAUAGUCAAUAUAUACUUUCUAUGACUUUUAGCUAUUUUUUAUGUAAAUAAAACAUGAUUAUAUUUAUUGUAAACUAAUUACUUUAUUGUAUAUAUUUGAAAUUGUCCCAAAAAAACUGGACUCUACAAAUAGCUGAUUUUAUAUUCUUAUUCGUUACUGUCACGAAAAUACUACAGAUAAAUGUAAAAAAUUUAAACCGGCUCCUGUAAAAAAGCACUACUUUCCUUGCGUCAACCCAACCCCACAGCGCCUCGUUACCGUCACUAAAAGAAAUAUCCCAACUAUUACGAAAUUUUACUGAAAACAGAAUACAUCUGCUAUGUUCGAUUACAAAUUCAACAAUUACGUUUUACAUGAGAAGAGAAAACACUAAAAUUCCCAAAAGGAACAGAAAAGACACCCCAUGAAACCUGAAAAGUUCUACGUCAACAGUUAUCAUAAAGCUCGAAACGAAGAAUAAACCAGAUUAGCUAUGAUUGUGCCUGCUAAAAAGAAUGAUAAAAAUUCCAACCAAGAAAUAACAGCAACUGCAUACAACAACAUAUCAUGAAGACAAUCGCAUAGGAACCACAAAAAAAAAAAAAAAAAGUAUGUAACAUAAUUAUACCCUCAGGGAAAUGAACCUAGAAACAAUUACAAAACUGGAGAUAAAGCACCUUAACCGACCCCAGCAAAUCAAUGCAAGAUGCAAAAUUAAUGCAUCUCUUUGGUCCUGAAUAAUAAAAAUUUCCCCCUUUCUGCCUAACUACAAAAAAAAUGCCUCUUCUAAAAGAAUAUUACAAAGGAGAUAUCAACACCCUAUGACACACAACAGAACAAUUAUUUUAUCAAAGCCUCCACUUGUGUCCAUGAGUCAACAACUGCAUGGUAAGUGACAAAAAUACAAGGGCAACAACCCUAAACAAAAAGCAAAAGAACACCAGUAUAUUGAACACCAUCAUAUUAGUAAGGACCCAUGGGUGGCAUGCCAAAUGGAGGCAUGGGAGGCAUUCCCAUCCCACCCAUUUGAGGAGGUGCCGCAGCAAAACCUCCUCCCAUACCUGGCAUUGGUGGGGCAGGCAAAGCCAAUGGCAGCAGCUGUGCA